rnacentral:rRNA from 1 species
GACGAACGCUGGCGGCGUGCUUAACACAUGCAAGUCGAGCGGUAAGGCCCUUUCGGGGGUACACGAGCGGCGAACGGGUGAGUAACACGUGGGUGACCUGCCCUCAGCUCUGGGAUAAGCCUGGGAAACUGGGUCUAAUACUGGAUAUGACUCCACGGUGCAUGUCGUGGGGUGGAAAGCCUUGUGCGGCUGAGGAUGGGCCCGCGGCCUAUCAGCUUGUUGGUGGGGGUGACGUCGGUACCCUAAC